UACGUAGGGUGCGAGCGUUAAUCGGAAUUACUGGGCGUAAAGCGUGCGCAGGCGGUUAUGUAAGACAGAUGUGAAAUGCCCGGGCUUAACCUGGGAACUGCAUUUGUGACUGCAUGGCUAGAGUUUGGCAGAGGGGGUAGAAUUCCACGUGUAGCAGUGAAAUGCGUAGAUAUGUGGAGGAAUACCGAUGGCGAAGGCAGCCCCCUGGGAUAACACUGACGCUCAUGCACGAAAGCGUGGGGAGCAAACAGG
rnacentral:rRNA from 1 species